CAUCCAACUACUGCGAUUUCUGAAUGAGAUAACCCUCGUCGGCGAGCUGACGAGCCGCGACACCAUAAAUGAUGGAACCCGGUGCCGGCGAGAGGCAACGAUCCCGGCAGAUGUCGAGAUGUUGCAGCACUUGCUCGGUGACAUCGGCUCCAAGGUCGAUGAGGAGAGUGGAUGAGGUGGAGAGAAGGGGCAAGGGUAGGAAGGUGGGUAAGGUAUUAAAGUUCAGGAUGAUGCGGAGUUGAGCUUCCAUGUACUACUCUAUCCUCACUCUGUUGCAGUCCUCUUAGUUUGCUUUAAAAUCUAAGAUAAUUAACCUAUGGAUUUCAACAUCAUCAAGAAUUGGAUGGAACCAAAGAAUGGCACUGGAUACAAAAUAGUUUGAGAAGUAUAUGCAAGAUGUCGAUUAUUCUUCACAAAUGCUAUAGCCUAUUAUGGCAAGAAAAAUGAAUAUCAUAUAAUAUCUGAGACUUUGCUGCACAAAUUUUAAGGGAAGUGGCUCCAGUUAUUGCUAAUGGUCCUUGAAGAGGAAAGAAAACAAGAGGAGUCAUAACAAGAGCUGCUAAAGUAAAUAGGCAGAUUGCUCAAGGGACUGCUAUCAUGAAAAUAGCAAAGGAUACAAGUGAUGAGGUACGUUGAUCCUAUAUACCUGCAAAACACUAGAUCCAAAUCUUUUUUAUGCAUGGAAAGCAAAAUCAAUGGUGUGCUUAAGUGAUAGGUGCAUAUGAUUUUAUUUUUCUCCUGUUGAGACUGAAGGAAUGUUAAAUUUGACACCUAGUUUGAGAUUGAGCUAGAAAAGAAUAAGAAAAUAAUAAAUUCAGGCUCAGCCUUGUGCUCUUCUCCUGCAAAGGAACUAAAAGGAAUGGGCAAGAGAGAAACAUGUUAGCAUUAUGGAUGAAUCGCAUGUCAUACUGUGGAUGUAUUUUUAUUUAGCAAUGCAUACCAAUACACCCCAGGAAGCAUCUAGAAUUAAAGAGAAGCAUAAUCAAGACAUUGUUCUAGUAUUUGUUUUCUAUUUCCUAAAACCAUGAAUGCUUAGAAAAUUGCCUCGUCCUGUUCACUAUGAUUUUGGUUUUAUUUGAUAGUAAAACCAUGAAUGCUAUGAGUUCUGAAAGAAUAAGGCUGGAAGAGGAAUUUCGAAAGUGUUAGAUUUGUGCUUUAGGGAUUAUAUUGAUGUAUUAUGAUGCUAUAUGAAUAAUAUUUAUGAUAUUAUCGUAAAUGAUGGAAGUUUGCUGGAAUCAAUGGAGGUGGCCAUUUUGUAAAAGAAUAACCUGAUUUUAAAAGAUAAUGGUAUGUAUUAAUGUUUAAGAAGUAGAAGAUCCAGUUAGCUUAAACAUAGGAGCCCUGUUUAUCUUGCUUCAGUUUUCACAUCCCACCUUGUGUGGCUUUUGCAAAGUCAAAAUCCUCUCAUUUAUGACACUCCCCAAGGAUAAAAAGGACAAUACCGCUGCAUUAAGGAAGUGAGUUUUGUAUUAUGUAUGAAAUGAGGUGCUCAAUCGCAUAUUUUAUAAAUUCAUUCAAAAUUUCAUUCUAAUUCUUGAUGCUUGCUUAUCUAUUGCCCCCUUUCUUCUUUUAUAGACUUCUUUCAUUUUUUUUUUUUUGGUCUAAACUAAUGCCUUUUUCUCCUUUGUUUAAUGGAUCAUUAGGGAGGGGAUGAUUCUGGAAUUUUUAUUUGUUGUUACCUUUGAACUAUUUUUUUUUCUUAUGCUUCUCAUAAACUUGAAUUUCACUUAUCAUGGAAGUGCCACUAAAUGAAUCCUGAGUCCUGAUAUAUACAUCUGAAUCCUGUCCAGUUCUUUUUUACCCUUGCCAAGCUUGUUUGGAGGGUAAGUAAAUUGGAAGACUCUCAAUCUUUGUUGUAAGAUGCAAUUGGAAGUGUCUUUCUCUGGACAAAAAGGUGGUUGUGAAUACA